rnacentral:rRNA from 1 species
CCCGCCCUACGGGGCGCAGCAGUAGGGAAUCUUCCACAAUGGACGAAAGUCUGAUGGAGCAACGCCGCGUGAGUGAAGAAGGGUUUCGGCUCGUAAAGCUCUGUUGGGAGUGAAGAAAGAUAGAGGUAGUAACUGGCCUUUAUUUGACGGUAAUUACUUAGGAAGUCACGGCUAACUACGUGCCAGCAGCCGCGGUAAUACGUAGGUGGAAAGCGUUGUCCGGAUUUAUUGGGCGUAAAGCGAGU